rnacentral:tRNA from 1 species
UAUAUUUUAAUGUAAAAGGAGAGCAUAUAAAUUUUUGAAAUUUAUUGAAUUAGUUUGAGUCUAUUAAAUAUAU